CUCAGUCGCACAUCUCCUCCGGCAGCUCGUGGGGGUUGAGGAUUCCCGGCACAGACAUCUGGAGCUUGUGCUUCUCCUCCUGGGCCUGACGCAGAGACGACUCCCUCUCCUCCAGGAACAGGUCCGUUGUGUCCUCGCCGGCAAACUCCUGCAGGGGGCGACAGACACAAAAGCAGAGGCGGCGUGGAGACCCUCACCUUGAUCUGCACCAGGAAGUCCCUCAGGUGCUCCUUGAAGGCCGGGAUGUCCUGGUUCAGGCUGAACAGGCCUGUUACGAACACCUUCACCUGGGCGCUGAGGAACCACAAGGUCAAUUAGUUCGUAUGAGAAAACACGGCAUGUAGGAAAGCUAUAAGAUAGACAACAGAUCCUCUAAAUCCACUUGACCUUUAAAAGCACAAUACAAAAAAAAAAAAAGUAUGAUUAUGAAAGUGUGUAUCUCUCAUCUCUCCGGCUUCUGGCAACUUCAGACAUUUCUAAAUAAAUCAGAAUGUUUUUCCCCCUUUAACCCCCGUGUGUGAGACUUACUCCUGCAGGUGGGGGAAGGCCGUCUUCAGCAGGUUGGCGAUGUACUCCUGGACAUGCGCCUGGUUGUUGGCGGGGCUGGCGGCGCUCAGGGCCACGCUCACCUUGCCUUCCUCCACCAGGUUGAACAUGUAGGCCAGGAUGGUGGCGUGCAUGGUCAGGCCUGCAAGACGGGGAGCAGGGAGUCAAGUCACGUUAAUGAUCUUAACGCUUAUUAUCAUCUCGUACAUAACGAAGGGAAUAUGUGGUCCCAUCUUUAUUCUUAAAGGGGCAGUCAGCGAUUUUGGAGAACCAUUGUUUGUUGUUGAUGAUGAUGAUGUCACUGCUCUGGUCGGGACUCGAACCCGCAGCCUCAGGUACGUGAGACGGACGAGCUAACUCUCGUAAUUUCACGAGAAUAGAGUUGUAACUCUACGAGAAUAAAGUUAUAUUACGACUAGCUAUCGCUAGCACGUCUCUUAUUAAGGUGUCGGGGAGUGAUGUUUACAAACUGCACACAAAGUCGUAAUAUUACGUGAAUAAAGUCAUAAUAUUAAGACAAUAAAGUCAGAAUUUUGCGACGUAAAAUAACAAAUUUAUUGUCUUAUUAGUAUGACUUUUUCCUCAUUAAUUUACUACUUUAUUCUCAAACUCUCCAAUGUCUUCUUCACAGAAUUUAUUUUACAUUAGUGUCUUGGAUUCAAAAUCUCUCACAGAUAUGAAAACAGAUAAGUGCGAACAGAUGGUUACGUGUGCAUGCUCGUUUGAUUUACUCAAAAACGACAGAACAAAUUUCCAUCUAACGAGGUGGAACAAUGGGACGUGGAUCUGGACAAAGGGGGCGGAGACAGUAAUAUUUUUUUCCAUUAUCCUUUUAGUUUUCCACAGAAAAGUUCAUGGACGUAUUCAGUGGACUGGUUGAGUGUGUGUGAGUGUGUGUACCUGCGGUGUGCGAGGUGUCGGUGACCACGGAGAAAAUGUGCUGCAGCACGUCACAGAAGUACGUCUGGUAGAAGCUCUGCGCCGCCGCCUCCUCCGCCGACACGUUCUGCAGCAGCGUGUAGAGGAUCUGCAGACCUGCGGGAAACGGGGGGGGGAUGUUGAGUCAGCGUUUCUAUGACGACCAUUGAACCAAACAUUUAAAUUGAACUGAAUAUCUUUGGUGUGAGGACGAAACAAAACAUCACCUUGAGAUGAGCCGACGUCAGUCUCGGACCUGUGUCGGCCACGUUCCUCAUGGUGUGCUUGAAGGCCCAGAUGAUGGAGUCCAGGAUCAGUUUGAACUGGGCCGGGGCGAUGGACAGGAACGCCGGGAAGCACUGGGACGUGGCGGCUUGAAGGAGGUAGAAGA